CAAUUUUUGAAGAUUUGGGAAAAAAGGUUUAAUUAUUUGCACUGAUUUAGGUAAGAGGAUACAUGAUUUAAGAUCUACCAGAUGAGGGAGAUUUUGUCCCAUGGAUCUGAAAAGCAGGCUCAUAUACUACUGAGGCAACCUAAUCAGGGGCCUGUUAGAACAUUCCUGUCAGAAUAUCACGUUCUUACACUGAGAAUAUUUUACAUCCUUGUGCUAUGACAGGACUCUGAUUUGGUCUUGUGUGAAGUGCGAUUUCCUUAAUGUGACCUGCUCUUCUUAAUUUGUUUACAGAUGACCGAGAAGAUCACGAUGAAGAACAAAAAUACAGAGACAGCAAAAAUAAACUUCUUAUGAGUCAAGUGGCCUACUACCUGGCCUGCCGGCUGAGGAUGAAAGGUGAGUUCUGUAGGUUCACCAUUACGGAAGUCCUGGACAGUGUUCUGUCUUGUCUCUGACAACUGCUCUACUCUCUUCUUCAUUUUAAUUUUAUCACUCACAGACUUCUAGGAAGGUAGCAAUUGGUAUUUUAACAUUUUCUUAAAGACAUAACACACAGGCAAAAUUAUUUAGCAACUUUCCACAUCUGAAAUAAGACAGGUGUGAGAUUGGGUGAACAUCCCAGAUACUGAUUUCCAACACAGGAACCAAAACACCUGCUUUUCUCUGCAGGAGGCUAAAUCAUGUUUACAGGAAUCUUAUCCAUACCAUAUAAGACCCUUUAGAACUGAAAAACAGGAUCAAGGUAGAAAUGUUUAUGUCCUGGCUUCAAGGUAAAUGAGUAGCUAAGACAAGUUGACUCUAAGGUGAUCGAGAGCGCAGAUGAGAAGAGUAAUUUGGGGAAAUAACAUCUUGAAAUCAACAGGCAAGGCUGUCAGUGACAUUCCUCAGUCCCGAUUAAACCAAUUUGACGUCACCAGUUUCUAAUUCACCAUGUCUUGGGUUCCUUCUUUCCAGUCCCUGGCUUUCUGUAUUGUUACCCAAACAUCAGCAGGGUGGAUUCCGGUAAACUUCCUUCGAGAAAAGACCCAGAGGUGAACGUUCCAGAAACCAUUGAGAAAUCCUGCUCCCAGCGGGAAGAUAACAAACCAGAUGUUGGAGUCCGCCGAAAUAGAUGUCUUCUGAGUGAGGUGGACUACUCCCUGAACUACAGGCUGAGGGCAUACGGUGAUCAAGAUUAUAAUGAAAAACGGAAAUACAGAGAAAGCAAAAAUAAGCCUUUUACAAGUCAAGCGGCCUUCUGCCUGGGCUCUCGGCUGAAGACGAAAGGUAAGUUCUAUAGUUUCACCAUAAUGGAAGUGCUGCACAAUGUCCUGUUUUGUCUCUUACAAAUGAUGCACUCUCUUCUUCAAAGUUAAUUUUAUCCUUCCCAUGCUUCUAGGAAAAUAGCAAUGAUUA
rnacentral:lncRNA from 13 species